CCAGGGUCCUUACAACUUUGGUGCUCUGCUGGGCUUUGUUUCUGUCUCCUGCUGCAUUUCUGUUUUCUUUGCUCCAUCUCCAUAAAUGUAUCUGGUCUUCUCCUGUGGACAUCUGUGCCGUGUGUAACAGCGUUUCACAGUGCACAGGCCACUGCAGCCUCCCUGCUUGCCACAGAACCGCUUAACCUAAGAGUAUUGCCCAAUGCCUGUCUGUAGUUGAAGCCCAGCGGCCUGGGGGCGGCAGUCACCUCCAGGAGGUCUGUGUUCUAGUGAACUGUUGAAAAUGUUCUGUGACUAAAAAGGCUAAAAAUUGUUAGCAAUGAAGAUAAGGAGUUUCUAGCCUCACACUUUGCUCAUACCUGGGUUAAAGGUUUAGGAGUCAUUAAAUUUUUUCUUAUUCAAGGUACUUUAUAACGGCCUGUGCCAGAAUAGGAUAAUGAAGUCUUUCCUGCACAUGAAAGGAGGCAGCCCACACUGUAUCUUUUUAGUUGGGAAACAAUUAUUUUCAUACAGCACUCUACACUUAGGCUUUCUAAAUAUGUGACAGUUGACACUUGGGUUUUUAAACCAAAGGUAUCUCUGCCAUUGCUGUUAUUUUAAAUUGUAUUGACUCUGUAGUAUCUUAGACCUGGAACAUAAAUGUUUUUGUAUAUGGUUUUCUGGCUGAAUUAUUCCUAGCUUUUGUUUCAGGUGACAGGUUUAUAGACGCUUGUCAUGUCAGGAAAAUGAUUACAUAAAAAGUAGAGAGAAUAGCUCAGGAGUCAGGUGUGAUUAAUUCAGCUUUGUCCCCAGAGGUCUGAAGAGGAAACUUACUGAAUAGUAACAUUUCAUGACCACAUUUGUCUUCAGACCAUCUACUGUUCUAUGGUGAAGCCCAGGAAAUAAAUAGUUUUGUUUGUUUGUUUGUUUGUUUUAAAUAUUCUGAAUUUGCAGUGCUUAAAGGUCAGGUGAGGACUAGCAUUUCAGUGCACGAAAUCUUCAGCUGAAUCCUUAUUUGGGUAGAGUCAGCCAGCCACAGACUUCUCAGUGAACGUUGUGAGGUUUGAAAACCACAUCUCAGCAAAUGGUCUUUGGAAGAGUCCAUUGAAGAUGUUUAACACUUUAUUUAGAGAGCUGGAAGCGUCUGCCCUGCUGGCACAGUGAUUACUGCUGUGUUACCAACAGUGCUUUCUCCUCAUCCUUUGACAACACGGGGCAGAGUAUUGAAUCAUUACAAUUCGUAGUAUCGGAAGGAGUGGUGCUUGAUGGUACAGAGGCUCUGCUGUGCUGUGGGCUGUACUCUAACAGUUCAGGUAGGAGAUUUAAAAUGAGCCUGGGCAAUGCAGCCAGGCCCUGCCUUUAAUUAGCAACAACAACACUACUAAAAGAUUAACUGGGAUUUCAGAAAGAGCUAGUAACUCUAUAAUAUUGUAAUUAUAAUAUUAUUCCUGCCUAUUGUAGGUUAGAAAGCACUGCUGUAAGUGAAGUUUCUGAAUCUACUUAAUCAUCCAACAAGACUCUGUGUAAAUAGCUAAUUAGAGUGUUGUAUACACAGGUAGUUAAGUAGGUACCAUAAAUGAGUCAAUCUUUGAGUCUUAAAAAUCCUGCUUUUAGGGAUUGGAGAGGUGGCUCAGUGGCUAAGAGUGCUUGCUGUGCAGUUGAGGACUCAGCCUUUAGAUCCUAGCACUGAUACCACAAGCCAGGUAUCCUAUGGAUGUUUCUGAUGUGGGGUGGAGAGGGGGGAUUGCUGACUUCCAACCUAGCAAAGAAAUCAAAAGACAUGGAUACUAGGAGAGACUCUACUUUGAAGGACCAGGGAGAGUGAUAGAUGAGAACACCCGACCCCCUCUUCCGGCCUCUGUUGCAUGUGCGUGUAGCCAUGUUGUCAAAGGCACCAAAGGCACUGCCCCCCAAAACACACACACACACACACACACACACACACACUUUUUUUUUUUUUUUGGUAAUGCUAGUUUUAGGUUUGUAGUUGUGACUCUUUAAACAUAGCUUAUAAAGAUAAAAAAGAAUUCAGAGCAGUGAAACAGAAAGCCCACCUUAUAACUGAGGAAAGGAAGCUUGCUGGAAGGAAGUCCCAGUGGGUCGUGGGGGAUGGAGUGCCAUGUACGUGCUGGCUGGUCACCACACUUUCCCAUGGCUGCAGCAGUGAAGGGAACUGAUGUCACAUAGCACCUUCAGGACCACUGUUAUUCACCUUUCCAGAACUUCAGAGAAAUGUGCAAAUAAGGGAAAUUAAGGCUGCCUUAACAGCAAUUCUUAGAACUUUCCAAAGGCUGUUGAAAACUCACGUGGCUCCAUCGGUCUGCACCUUCUUAUGAAGGAGUUAUUUGGGGGUGGGCUGGACAUGUAGUUACCGUGUUAAGUCCUUAGCUAGGACAUGAAGUUUUAGGAAGCCUGUCUGCUCCAGAAACAGCCAUGUGAGGAACUGAUUUUUCUGUUAGCCCCACUCUCAGUUGGUACCAGAUGGAUGCAAGUUUAAGCCCAUGGUGGUGGCUGGCUGUGCACUGGCGACCUGUACGGAUAUUUGAGUAGGAUGGAGGUUUAAAAAAAAAUGAGUGAAGUUCUGUCUCCACUUAGAGCAAGCUUUCUAGCUUACUGCCUGUCUUAGUCAGGGUUUCUAUUCCUGCACAAACAUCAUGACCAAGAAGCAGUUGGGGAGGAAAGGGUUUAUUCAGCUUCAACGUCCAUACUGCUGUUCAUCACCAAGGAAGUCAGGACUGGAACUCAAGCAGGUCAGGAAGCAGGAGCUGAUGCAGAGGCCAUGGAGGGAUAUUCUUUACUGGCUUGCUUCUCCUGGCUUGCUCAGCCUGCUCUCUUAUAGAACCCAAGACUACCAGCCCAGAGAUGGUCCCACCCACAAGGGGCCCUCCCCGCUUGAUCACUAAUUGAGAAAAUGCCUUACAGUUGGAUCUCAUGGAGGCAUUUCCUCAACUGAAGCUCCUUUCUCUGUGAUAACUCCAGCCUGUGUCAAGUUGACACAUAAAACCAGCCAGUACACUGCCCAUGAUGAUCUCUACUUUAUGUGAGUCCCCUUAAAAGGGAGUUUUUAGAGACUCCAUGAAAACAGUUUCAGACUUACAGCAAAUCUGAGCCAAAGAUUGAGGUUUCCCGUGUCUCCCUAUUUGCAUAAACACCCACAGCCUCCCUGAUCACCAGUACCUUUAUGAAGAAGAGUACAGUUGUUGCAGCCAACACAUUAUCUCCCAGAGUUCAUGACUUGCAAGUCACUUCUGUGAUUUGGGCAAAUUCAUGUGACAACUGCCCACCAUUACAGUGUCACGCAGAGUCGUUUCUAUGUCUUUAAAAAAAAAAAAAACUGAUUGGGGCUGGGCAGGUGAUUCUCCAGUCCAGUGCCUGCUGUGAGGACUCGAGUUCAAAUCCCAGCACCCCAGGCAUAGACCUGCGUCUGUAACCCCAGCACUGGGAAUGUGGGGCAGGGUUCAGGAGCUCACUUGCCAGCCAGUCAUCCAGCCUAGCUGAGUGCAUUAGCUUAUGUUUAGUGUGGGAUCCUGCCUUAAGAAAUAAGGUAGAGAUCUGUGGCCUCAUGCAUGUAUGUAUACACAUACAUGAAGGAACGUACACCCAUGCAUGCACACAUGCAUGAACACACACAUGUAUGCACACAUGUAUGAACACACACACACAUACACACACACACACAUGCAUGCACACAUGCAUGAACACACAUGUAUGCACACAUGCAUGAACACACACAUACACACACACACAUAAACACACACAUGCAUGCACACAUGCAUGAACACACACACACACAACACACACACACAGAGGAAAAUCUAGAUAACCCAGUAAUUUAGAGUAAGGAAAUUAAAAGUUCUAGCUUAUCAUAUAUGCUACUUGGUCUACAGUUUCUGCCUCCACUUAGGAACUACUAUUCAAAUUUUUGAGUCGUCCGUGCAGGAUCUCUAUCUUUGCAUGUGUACACUUAAUUCAGAUGAUCUAAAACAAUACUGUCUGCCUCCUUAUGUCUAAAAAAAAAAGUGGAUUUCAUUUUGCUUUUCAUAAAGCAGGUUUCAUCUGCUCUGGGCAAAAGCUUUUGAGGAUUACUGUUGAAGUAAGAGGGAUUACAAGUACACUGAAGAGGGGAACAAACCACUAAUCCCAGAUAUUAAGCACUGGGUUCAUGAGAUCACUGCAGAAAUAGAUCUGCAUGAUAUAUAGUGUAUGUGAAGGGUACGAAGUUGGUUGACCAGCACCCUGCAGGCUAAUCUGUGACUAACUCCCCUUAUGAACAGGGUUAGCCGCUCUCUGCUUAGCACAGACUCCAGUUUAAGCUUUCAACCAAAGAAGCAUGCAGAGGUGUAGAAGGGGGGAUAGAAAACUACCAGCGUGUGCUAAAGAACAGGCAAAUACAGAGGUGUAGAAGGGGGAUAGAAAACUACCAGCGUGUGCUAAAGAACAG